CCUACGGGUGGCAGCAGUGAGGAAUAUUGGUCAAUGGACGGAAGUCUGAACCAGCCAUGCCGCGUGCAGGAAGACGGCUCUAUGAGUUGUAAACUGCUUUUGUACAAGGGUAAACCUGAAUACGUGUAUUCAGCUGAAAGUACUGUACGAAUAAGGCUCGGCUAACUCCGUGCCAGCAGCCGCGGUAAUACGGAGGAUCCAAGCGUUAUCCGGAUUUAUUUGGUUUAAAGGGUGCGUAGGCGGAUUGAUAAGUUAGAGGUGAAAUGUCCGAGCUUAACUCGGGAACUGCCUUUAAUACUGUUGAGCUAGAGAGUAGAUGCGGUAGGCGGAAUGUAUGGUGUAGCGGUGAAAUGCUUAGAGAUCAUACAGAACACCGAUUGCGAAGGCAGCUUACCAAUCUAUAUCUGACGUUGAGGCACGAAAGCGUGGGGAGCAAACAGGAUUAGAUACCCGUGUAGUC
rnacentral:rRNA from 1 species